GUCUUUUUAGUAUUUAAUAUAAAGUCUGGCCUGCCCACUGAAUAAUAUUUGAAGGGCCGCAGUAUUUUGACUGUGCAAAGGUAGCAUAAUCAUUAGUCUUUUAAUUGAAGGCUGGUAUGAAUGGUCGGAUGAGAUAUAAGCUGUGUCAAAAAAAUUAUUAUUUGAAUUUAACUUUUUAGUUAAAAGGCUAAAAUAAAUUUAAAAGACGAGAAGACCCUAUAGAGCUUUAUACAAUAAAUAUUUAAGUUAUUAAGAUUUAUUAUAUUUAAUUUUUAUAUUGUAUUUUGUUGGGGUGACAAUAAAAUUUAUAAAACUUUUAUUUUUAUUUAACAUUAAUUUAUGGUUAUAUGAUCCAGUUUUAUUGAUUAUAAAUUUAAGUUACCUUAGGGAUAACAGCGUAAUUUUUUUUGAGAGUUCUUAUCGACAAAAAAGAUUGCGACCUCGAUGUUGGAUUAAGAGUAAUUUUGGGUGCAGAAGUUCAAAAUUUAAGUCUGUUCGACUUUUAAAUUCUUACAU
rnacentral:rRNA from 1 species